UCCGGUAUGGUGUAACGGUUCAACAUUGCCGCUUUUCAUUCCAAUUGUCGCGGCAGCUCGGGGUUCGAUUCCCCGUACCGGAA